CCCGCACGUCCUCGCGUCCCAGCCCCCUCCCCUAACCCUAGCCCCCUCCCCCGCCGCCCACUUCCCCGGCGUCGUCGCCAUCGUCCACCACCACCUCCACCGCGCCCCAACCCUAUCCCCGUUGCUUCCGCCCCCACCUUCUCCCAAUCCCCUCACCUUCUCUCCCGUGGCCGGUGGAUUCGCCCCUCGCGGGAUCGAUUCCUCCGAGCCGACAGGGUCUUCAGGGCCGGACGGGAGCGGCGCGUCCCCCAUCGGCGCGUUGGUGAGCGCGGCGGCGGCCGUGGCCGAGCUCGAGCCCGUAGCUCAGAUCCUUCAGGGCCGGACGGGAGCGGCGCGUCCCACAUCGGCGCGUUGGUGAGCGCGGCGGCGGCCGUGGCCGAGCUCGAGCCGGCCCUUCUCCGCGCCGGCGACGCGUGCAGCAAAGAAUGGAAGGCGUGCGUUCUGUCGGCAUCUGAUCCAGACGACCUCACGCCUCCGCGCCCGUCCUCCUUCCCCGUUGCCCCUCCUCUCGAGCCACCGGCUGGCGCUCUCCCUUCGCCGGAAGAGCCUCCGACUCCUCCUCCGGAAGCUAUUUGUGGCCCAGUUGUUCGGAGAUGGAUCUACCGGCUCGAUCGAGGAGCGGCGGGGGUAGAAGUGCAAGGCGAGGAGUGCUUGAUGCGAAGAGCUCAUAACAGCCACGCGUCCGCCUUUACUGGCGAGCGCAUCAAGUUCCCAACCGGACACUAGGUUUUGAAUCUUAAAUGAUGGCUGCUUGAUAAUUUGUCCAAGUUGAGAUCCACCACCGACGAUAAGAGUUUGCUACCCUGCUCCUAUGAAGGUAGCCGAAGGCCUGCACCUCCCACCGUUCCAAUUUUUUCGGUUGAAUCAAGUGUCAAUUAAUGAGAUGGAUGUGUUGUUCAUGCUCUUUGAGAAGGCCAGCCGCUCCAGACGACGAUUUUGUAGGAUACACGCUGAAUGCGUCGCUCGCCUGUCACUCCUUCGCUAGGAGGGGCGCAACAUGCUACUCGCUCCGAUGCUCCAGGUUGAAGCGGCGAUGGCGGUUGUAGCGUGACUGACGGCAUCAGCAACAAGCAGUUACUCAUCUUUGCAUCAGCAACAGAUGGAUUAUGGAAUUGUUUCAAUCUGGAUAAUUCGCUUGGAAAAAAUUGUCACGUACACUACCAGAAGGGUGAGAGUGAAUUUCAAUAGGCUUAUGACAAAGGAAUGCCCAAAUCAAAGUUCUGGGAGCCUACAUAUGAAGAUUGCUUAAAUAUGAUUGAUGUACCGCAGGUAUUCCCCCGUCGCUCCUCCACUCCAGGUUCCCUCUCUCUCUCUCUCUCUAUCUAUCUAUCUCUCUCUCUCUCUCUCUCUCUCUCUCUCUAACCUCUGCUCCCAUCAUCUUGGAACUACACGAGACGAACAUGUCGUCUUAGGCUCGGACGUUGUUGGUCGCCGGCUUGGCCUGCAAGAGGAUGCCCCCCUGCUCUGACUUGCUCACAUCUCAGUGUUUCACCAAUGAAGAUGUAUUUUCAAGAACCAGAGUCAUCGAUGCAGUGAGGAUGAUUUUCGCAUCCGCUGGCUGAGGGGCAAGCUGGGGCUGCAGUCCCUGAACAUAGUGGUUCUACUGUGACGAUCUCAUCUCUCUCACUAUGCGUGUAUCUCUCUCUAUCACGUCUCCCUUUUUGCUAAUCAUUCAUGCAUUUCAUGAUCACUAAGGUUUUUUUAGCUUUGUAGUUGCUGAUUGCUGGGAGAAUGAUUAUCCUGAUUAAUAAGAUUUAAAUGUGUUAGACCAGACCAAGAUGGAUUAGUUUUGAUGUAUAUUUUGGGUUAGAAAAAUGUCAAACCUUAACAUUUAGAAGAAGCUUUACAUAGUUGGAUCCAUUACAGUGCUACCUUGGUCGUUGCUGUAGGUGAAGGCCUUGCGUUGGGACUCUGUGCCUCCUAAACUAAGAACAAAUGAACUUGCCUUUAGGCUUUUCGCACUGCACUAUGCAUCCAGGUCCAACCCAAUGGUUAGGACGGCGGUUCUUGCAUAGCAUACAUGGAGAUGGUACAUGUGGGGAAGAAAUAUAAGAAACUCAUGCUCAUCAGCGAGGGCAGGGGUCAUAUAGUCUUCCACUCCAUCACCUUCCGCUCGGCCACUUUCGGCAAAGCAGACUAUGUACAACCUCUUCUUUUUGAAGCCCUCGGCCCCUCACCACCUGUUGAAGUUGAGGGCAGCAGCUCGCAUGGAUAGAGGUCAUCCAUGGCUUGAGUGAGUAGCCCCAAAAGCAGGUGGUAUGGCAAGCCGCGGGAAGCUCAGGGCAGGGUCAGCAGCUUCAACAGCUUCAACUGCACCAAUGCAACUGUAUGUCUCUUCAGAGAUGUGUCGUUAGCUGAUGAGGUUAUCCCCACUAAAGCCAAGAAGGUCAGGCGCAACUAAAACCAGGAAGGCCAAUUGUUGUUAAGUGCUCGCCCUUUUGGACCUUAUCAUUUUGUUUGUGGAUGCGCGAAAGAAUGAUGUCUGGAUAUGGGAGUGUCUCUUUAGAUGUAGAUAUAGAUGGUACCUGAAGCAACUAAACCGCGUAUGGGGAUUUAACAUUGUCUUUGGUGGAAAAGGCCCUCAAUUCUCGGCCACUGUUCUAUUUUUGAUUUCUUGCUUGGUCGUGUAGAUGUCGUGGGUAUUGUAGUCAAGGUUUCUGAUGUACUCCUGUUCCAGCCGCAACCAUGGCAAACUGUGACACUUACUAUGAAUCAUAAAUAGUUCUCUCUA